rnacentral:lncRNA from 1 species
CACAGGCAAUGUGCUUGCUGUUCCUACCCACAAAUCAAUAUUUGUUGCAGAAGAGAAGGGAAGGAAAGGAGGGACGGAAGAUGAAAUAAGGGUAAAUGGCUUUAACGGAAGGAGAAGAAGCCAAAGUUAAAAUAUUCAGUUCAUUGGGAAUUUCAGAAAGAGCCCAUCACUCUGCAUCUCUACUUCUCCAGGCAGAGCAAGAUAAAUGCGAUGUUGUGAAAAUAAAACCAUGGAGGGCUGCGAGCACUUGGCCACAGUGUAGAUGACAACAAUAAAAGUUUCUUCAGUAGAGAGGUAGGUCAUCCUUUGGGACUACGCAGAUAAGUAAAAUGUGGCCUUAUUCUGCUUUGUGAACAUUCGCUCUCAAAAUAAUCCUUUUACUGGAUCAAUAGAACCACUUUCCAGGCCAAGGCACUGUUCAGCCACAUGUCCCACCCAGCCAUUAGUCAUUGUGGUGUCAGGGCAAUGCAGACACAGAACCCCUCGUUCCAGAACUAGGAAUGUGUUUCACCUGAACACAAAUAACUACACAGAUCAGACUAUGCAGUUGUUCCCUGAGCUUUCUACAGAUUUACUCAUACAAUAUAUGACCUUGGUCACAUACGACAUGGUGAGAGGACGACUGAACUUCAUAUGGUACAUUUCUGACCUUUCUUCAUUGAGAAGCAAGAAGUAUUUUCCACUGUGACACAGCAGUUUUCCAAGAGAACUUUGACAUUUUUGAAGUCAAGCUGCAAGGGUUGUGGUCUUGAUAGAGCUGGAGAUCUC